CCAAUUUCCAAUUUAUACUAUCUCUCUUACUCUUCCAGAACCAGAAUGGGUCAGAAAUCUAAGAAAACUGGUAAGGCUCAUCUCCUUAAGCACCCCACUUACUUUUCUUGCAGGCCACAGAUGGAACCCUCCAAAAUAGCACAGACUGAGCCUUCUUUUUCUUCCUCAUACUUGUAGGACUCAAAAGAUGAAGCUGAGGGCCAUCAGCCUCAAUCCUCUUGGUACCAAUCAUUGGAAUCGGAUGAUGGCACUACAUCUUUCAUUAAAUGGGACAUCAAGGCCUUGUUUUUUUAUAUAUUUAUUUGUUUUUGUUGAGUGGUAAGUGCAAGAAAUAGACAUGUCACUUUGCUCUAAAAUAUCGAUAUGCU